AAGCUUUCCCCAUGCAGAUAGCAACCACAGCUUUCAAGUCAUGCCCCUCUCUGUUCCCUGAAAAGCCUGGCACUUGGCUCCUACUCACAACUCCUGCACUCAUGGCUCAUGAACCCGUGGCUCCUGCACUCACAGCCUGCUUUUCACUCUCCCCUACACUGGCCCUGGCCACGGGAUUUUGUCACCACCAAAGGUUACAUCUGGAAACCCCGUUGGGAGCUUCUUUCAACUUGUGACCACUGCCUGAACUUUUUGGCUGUCCUUCACGAGGCCUUCUGAGCAACAUGAGUUCUCACCAGAUCUGACAGUUUUAUAAGGGGCUUUUCCCCCUUUUGCUCAGCACUUCCUGAUGUGUCAUGUGAAGAAGAAUGUGUUGGCUUCCCUUUCCAACAUGAUUAUAAGUUUCCUAAGUCCUCCCCAGCCAUGCCGAACUGACUCCUUAUUGCUGCUGCCAUGGGAAGAAGGAUGUGUUCGCUUCUCCACUACUGUGGUUGUAAAUUUUCUGAAACCUCCACAGCCAUGCUGAACUGGAUCAUUGAAGUAGCAGUGGCAACGAUGUUAUGAAAGUUCCAUGGACGUCAGAGAUCCAGGAUCUUCUUGUUUCCUCACCACCAUCAUCAACUUCUCUGUCUUUUUUGGUUAAAAAGCCACCACAUCUACGACUGCAGUUUUCCCAGCAGAAAACAGGCUGUAUCUACAUCGCUUUCAGCUGUAACCCACUGUUAUAGUAGAUACUCAAUGGCAUGAUAGUAAGGUGUGAGGAAGAAAAAAAGUUCUACAAUGGCUUGCAUUCUUGGAAGGUAAAGGGAUAAGAAGCUGUGAAGGUUACGUAAUGGAGAUGAAAGGCAAGCUACAGGAAGUGAAAUUGGCAAUUCUUCUUGGUCCCUGUUUGGGAAAAUGUGAAUCUCAUCCUCUCAGUUUCUAGUUUGACAGACUAUAAGGAGUCUAUCAAGAAACCAUGUACAGAAAUAUCAAGUAAAAUAUAUCAUAAAAAAGGGACUCUGAGAACCUAGUGACCUGAAAAAAUGUUACUUAUGAAACUAAUGACCUAAGAAUGCCUUUAAAUCGAAGAGCAUCUAGUACAGCAAAGAGACCUUCAAAAUGGGCAUGUAAGCACUGAUCCAGAUAGAAGAUUAAAUAGCACGAUAUAUUAAAAAGCAUAAGAGUUAGAGACGAAUGCUGAAAGACCAUGAAAAAUCUCAGAGACAAGUCAUUUCUGGGACAAUAAAUAGCGGAAGACAGCAUUUAACAAUGAAUUAAGGGAAAUUCCAUUCUUUCCUGUAUUUCAGCACUGCGGAAGUCUACGAAGCAGUUAAUGUUAAGAAAUACCAUUGACUAAAAAAAAAAAAAUGAUUUUCUGCAUUGGAUGUUAAAAGAUAUGAAGCAAGAAAUUGACCAUUCAGUGGAACAAUGUGAAUCCUAAAUUAUCUAAAUAAAAACAAGAGGAUCAGUUAAUUCAGAAAAAAGAAUUGUAUAAAUUCUGGAACUCGGUAGAUAUAUUCUCCUUAACAAAUUCUGGCAAAGAAUUCUCCCAAUCACUUAUUCAUUAGGGAUUGAGAAUUGACACUAGAAACAGAUAACUUGUGCUUAAUAUUGUGCUUAAGCUUUAAGCAUAGAAAAUUUCCUUGAUGCAAGGGGGUUACUGUGUCACCUCAAGUUAAAAGGCAAUUUAGGAAGUGAUAUGUAACUAGCAGUUUGAAAGUAUUCUAAAUAUUACUUGCUAACAAAAUUCACUCUCUACAGAAGGGACAUACCUAACAAAGAAUACAUCUUGCAGAUUGCUACAUAAAGAGUAAGUACAUUGACAAAUAUUAUGUACUUAAAAUAUAUACAGCUCUGUACUUAGCAUGCCACAUAGAAUUCCUUAAUAUUCCUCUUAACAGCUGUACAAGUUAACUUGACUUUUAUACGCAUUAUACACAUGAAAAAAAUGAGAUGAGAAAGGCCAAAUAAAAUGAAUGAAU
ensembl:lncRNA novel transcript